GACGAACGCUGGCGGCGUGCCUAAUACAUGCAAGUAGAACGCUGAAGAGGGGAGCUUGCUCUUCUUGGAUGAGUUGCGAACGGGUGAGUAACGCGUAGGUAACCUGCCUUGUAGCGGGGGAUAACUAUUGGAAACGAUAGCUAAUACCGCAUAACAAUGGAUGACACAUGUCAUUUAUUUGAAAGGGGCAAUUGCUCCACUACAAGAUGGACCUGCGUUGUAUUAGCUAGUAGGUGAGGUAAUGGCUCACCUAGGCGACGAUACAUAGCCGACCUGAGAGGGUGAUCGGCCACACUGGGACUGAGACACGGCCCAGACUCCUACGGGAGGCAGCAGUAGGGAAUCUUCGGCAAUGGGGGCAACCCUGACCGAGCAACGCCGCGUGAGUGAAGAAGGGUUUCGGAUCGUAAAGCUCGGUUGUAAGUCAAGAACGGGUGUGAGAGUGGAAAGUUCACACUGUGACGGUAGCUUACCAGAAAGGGACGGCUAACUACGUG
rnacentral:rRNA from 1 species